rnacentral:lncRNA from 1 species
UUCUGGCACCUGUGAGGGCAGAACUGUCUUUGGGUCCCAACCCUCCUAAGCAUGGGAGGUUGUGGGUAUAAGGUGGAUUCUCUUCCUUCCCAUUAGGGGCUCCAAGGCCUUUGGUCAGGCUGCUGCUGUACUUAGAGGUUCCUAGGAGUUGUUCCUGAGCUGCUGCCCACUCAGCCUGCCGGCAGGUGGGAGACACUGGGAAAUAAGCCCAGUAGUCAGGCAACCAGGCCCCUGUCUCACAACUUGAGUUGGUUAGAAUGGAAUGGGCACUGCAAUGCCUGCUGGAACUCUUUGGUUCCAUUGGAGAGAGAGGCAGCUUGCUGGGGAGGUGAGGGGGCAGGGUAGGGGUAGGGAGCAGGACCGGACACUGGCUGAGGGGUUGCUCCUCAGGUUCCUCCAGACUUAGGCACUGACCCAGGCCACGUGUGGACAUGUGUCCUGCAGGUUGUACUUUCCCCAGCUGGCCCUAUGGCGGAGGCUAGGCCAGCUGAGCUGCAUGUCCAGACCUGCUCUGAAUCUGCGCUCCUGGCUGCUGACCAUCCUCCACUACCUCCUGCCCUUCCGUGUGCUCGGGCCCCACAGCCAGGUGGGAUGGAGGCCCCUGAGCAGGGUGUUCCUGUAUAAAACUGUGCCAACGAGUUUGCUGUCAUGUGCCUGUGGUCGCCUCAACAAAGUAGAACUUCCUUACUGGCUCUGGAGGCCAGUCUACAGCCUGUAUAUCUGGACCUUUGGGGUGAACAUGACUGAGGCUGCAGUGGAGGACCUGCACCACUACCGCAACCUCAGCGAGUUUUUCCGGCGUAAGCUGAAGCCUCAGGCACAGCCUGUCUGAGAUUUGUACUGUGUGGUAAUGCCUGGCCCUUGUCUCCAUUCUUCAUUAGGAAAUGAAACCCUUGUCUGCCUUUAAGCCAGGCUUAGCAGCACCGCAUGGCCGUGGCACUCCGGGAGGCUCCCUCCUGACCUGGACUGGAGCUCCCUGAGGACUUGGCAGAUGGUAGAGUUUGGGGAGCCACUGAAGGUGAGCACUACCCCCUCCUUACCUUCAAAACUCUGUCUCCUCCAGACCAGCCCAUCAGAUGGCAAGAUCCUCACCUUUGGGCAGGUGAAGAACUCUGAGGUGGAGCAGGUAAAGGGCGAAACCUACUCCUUGGAGUCCUUCCUGGGCCCUCGAACCAGUACAGAAGACCUGCCCUUCCCUCCAGGUGGGUCAUUGCUUAGUCAGGAUUGGAGCUGGGGUAGACAGCAAAG